rnacentral:lncRNA from 1 species
UUUAUGUAAAAAAGAGCUUUACAGAUACAUUUAUAAAAACAACACAACUCAACAAAUUAUGCAAAUACAUUAAAAUUAAAUACAAAAUAAAGUAAGAAACAAACAAAAAAAAAAAAAUAAAAUCCCAUUUCAACUGCCAAUUAAUUCAUUAGUUUGAAAAAAAAGUAGAAAAUAAAAGUUCCACUGACUGCUACUACUAUUAUUCAGCAUCUAAAAGAUACAAAUUAUAACAGAAUAUCUGUAAACGGUCGUGAAUCGUGUCGCUAGAGUAGUUGAGUUUAGCCUGAAAAUAUAAAUUCCAUCUAUUUUCUGUGUGUUUUGUUUUUUUGUAAGCCAUUUACAAAUUGUACUUUAAUGUAAAUGAGUUUUAACUGUGCUUUUGAUAACGACUAUAGUACGAGCAAUAAUAAUCAUUCUGACGAUGAUGAUGAAUAAAUACAGUUUUCGCUAAAUGUUUAUAAUACACUAACACCAUCACAUCUAACUCCUGUUCAACACAUUUAGUGUGAAAAUAUAUUGUUUGUUUUCAAAUACAAAAAGAAAAUAUUUAAAAUAUUUGUUGUUUUCCAUCAUUGUCAUUAUUACUGUGUAGACGUGUAGAGCUACAAAUAAGACUACAACGUUUACAUUAAUGUUCAUGAAAUUAAUGCAAAUUGUCUAGUUUAAAUCUAAAAUACUUAAAUGUUCCCAGUAAAAAAUUAAAAAAACGUAGCGUAAUUUUAUUCUUUCGGUAUUAUCUUGUUCAUCUGUACAAUAAAAUAAGUGAGGAUUUGUCAAUUUAGACCAUCACUCCUGUUCAUCUGUACAAUAAAAUAAGUGAGGAUUUGUCAAUUUAGACCAUCACUCCGUAUGAAGUUUAAUGUACGUAUGUUUGAAUUUUAAGUGACAGUUGUUUUAGUGUCCGUCCUGAAUUCCACCCUUGGGGUUUUAAAAAAGGCAACAGAAAAUAAUUAAAAAAGAACUUUUUUACAAAAUUCAACAAUAACAAGAAACUACAACAAAAACAACGAUCAGAACAUAAAAUAUAUAUAUAUUGACAAAUACAGGAUGCAGUUUUGAAUUGUUUUAGAAAAUUGGAUGAACAUUGGAUGAUGGAAUAAAAACAAAAGAUAAACUAAAACAAAAAAAUCCAAAUAUUUAUUUAUACAAAAA